GCUGACGCAUUGACGCCGCGUGUGGGAUGAAGCCUUUCGGGGCGUAAACCACUGUUGCCCGGGACGAACCUCCCCUUUCGAGGGGACUGACGGUACCGGGUGAGGAAGCACCGGCUAACUCUGUGCCAGCAGCCGCGGUAAUACAGAGGGUGCGAGCGUUGUCCGGAAUCACUGGGCGUAAAGGGCGCGUAGGUGGCUGGGUAAGCGUGUGGUGAAAGUCCGGGGCUCAACCCCGGAUCUGCCGUGCGAACUGCCGAGCUUGAGCGAUGUAGAGGCAGGUGGAAUUUCGGGUGUAGCGGUGGAAUGCGUAGAGAUCCGAAAGAACACCAGUGGCGAAGGCGGCCUGCUGGGCAUCAGCUGACACUGAGGCGCGACAGCGUGGGGAGCAAACAGGAUUAGAUACCCUGGUAGUCCACGCCGUAAACGAUGGGUACUAGGUGUCUGGGGGAGCGACCCCCUGGGUGCCGACGCUAACGCAUGAAGUACCCCGCCUGGGGAGUACGGCCGCAAGGCUGAAACUCAAAGGAAUUGACGGGGGCCCGCACAAGCGGUGGAGCAUGUGGUUUAAUUCGACGCAACGCGAAGACACUUACCUGGGCUUGACAUGCUGGAGAAAGCUUGCGGAAACGUGAGCC
rnacentral:rRNA from 1 species